UUUGAACAUGAUGUUGAAUUACGUUGUACUUUGAAUGUUGGUCAAGUGGGCUCUUAUUUUGUUUUUUGUUUUUUUGCGUAGAACCUGCUCUCGUUAACUUGGAACGCAUUUUUAUAUAAAUUAAGAGUGAUCUGUUAUGCAAAAUUGCUUGUUCGGAAGUCGAGUAAUUAAGCACAAGGUGGGUGAGGAAGAUUCCAGAAGCAUGGAAUCUUGCUUUCGUCCGUGGUUCUUGAAACAGUAGCUAGCUUGAUUUGACAAUGUCCGGGGGAUCCAACUUUAAUUUUAACUGUUUCCGCCGCCAUUGUGACUGGAGCUUUUCUCAGGAACUGGGAAUAGCUGAGGUUGGAAAUAAUUCAACAGAAACAUCCAAAUAAGCAGUACAAACUUUUAUUGGCCCAAACAGAACAAUCUGGAAGAGACAAAACUUUUAGCUUCUUAAAAUUAUUGAUGGGCCGUCUAAAAAAAAUGGCUGAUGUAACUUACGAGAAAGAAGGCCAAAACUUGUCACAAACACUAGCAAGUCCUUUAUUAGAUUUCUUCAGCCAAAUUAUUUCUCUUAAGUAUAGGAUUGUCACUGGGGCAAGCUUGAAAACCAAAACAAAUUUCUCUAAUUAAGACAUGUUCUUGCAUGGGUCAGCGAAGGAUCAAUUCUGCAUUUGUUGUCCCUUUAAGCUAUUACGCUGGUUGGCUUGUGGACCAGGUAGCUGUAUGGUAUGGUACCAUAGCUUGAUUUUAGGUGGAGCUAGUUAACUUGUGAUAUUUGACAUGUAUUAAAGCAUGUUUGAAUACCACACAAAACUGGUUUUGAGGUGAUGGUUCGGAUCCCACCUACAUGGAAACCAAAGAUCGCCCUGUGGAAUUUCAAAUAGCUCUUGAUCUUAUCAAGGCAGUCUUUUAUACCGGUUAAAAUCUGUUAGAUCAAAUUAAAAUACUACAAGCUUUUGAAUACAAUUACGAGACGAACCUUUUAAGUCGUUUGGGGUCGACUGCAAACAUGAACAGAAUUUUGAUUGAGGAUCAAGUCAGUCGAAUUCGGAAGGUCCGGGAGUGUUACAAGAUGGAAGGAUUUAAAAAAUCAUUAACGCGUCGAUGGCCACCAGUACACCUGUUAUCUCUACCCAGCUCCUACUCGAUAACUACUGGGAAUAUGUACUGAGAGUAAAAGGAAAGAUUAAAAAAAAAAAGAAUCCUCGGAGAACUAAUUUAAUUGAUUCAUGUGAAAUCAGUAUGUCUUUUCAGAAGACUCUUGCCAGAAUUUCUACAGGAAAAUACCAAACGAUGAAUUUAUGUAUCACAUUAAUAGUAAUAGGAGAUCUGUAAGGUUUCUGUUUGAGAUAAUAUACCGAAAAAUGUCGAAUUUCCUCACUUUA
rnacentral:lncRNA from 1 species